GGGGCUAUAGUUAACAAUAACAUUUGAGUUGCAUUCAAAAAGUACUACCUAGUAGUUAGCCUCA
rnacentral:tRNA from 1 species